rnacentral:rRNA from 1 species
GACGGAGGGGGCAAGCGUUGUCCGGAAUCACUGGGCGUAAAGCGCACGUAGGCGGGACGGUGCGUCGGUGCUGAAAGCGCCAGGCUUAACCUGGCGAGGCGUGCCGAUACGACCGACCUCGAGGCAGACAGAGGGUGGCGGAAUUCCGGGUGUAGUGGUGAAAUGCGUAGAGAUCCGGAGGAACGCCGGUGGCGAAAGCGGCCACCUGGGUCUGACCUGACGCUGAGGUGCGAAAGCGUGGGGAGCAAACAGG